rnacentral:rRNA from 1 species
CCUACGGGAGGCAGCAGUGGGGAAUAUUGGACAAUGGGGGGAACCCUGAUCCAGCGACGCCGCGUGAGUGAAGAAGUAUUUCGGUAUGUAAAGCUCUAUCAGCAGGGAAGAAAGAAAUGACGGUACCUGACUAAGAAGCCCCGGCUAACUACGUGCCAGCAGCCGCGGUAAUACGUAGGGGGCAAGCGUUAUCCGGAUUUACUGGGUGUAAAGGGAGCGUAGACGGCGAUGCAAGUCUGAAGUGAAAGGCGGGGGGCCAACCCCCGGACUGCAUUGGAAACUGUAUGGCUGGAGUGCAGGAGAGGUAAGUGGAAUUCGUAGUGUAGCGGUGAAAUGCGUAGAUAUUAGGAGGAACACCAGUGGCGAAGGCGGCUUACUGGACUGUAACUGACGUUGAGGCUCGAAAGCGUGGGGAGCAAACAGGAUUAGAUACCCCUGUAGUC